GGGGGUGUGGUGAAAUGGUAUCACAAGGGUCUCCAAAACCCUUGUCGUGGGUUCGAUUCCUACCACCCCUGCCA
rnacentral:tRNA from 1 species